AGUGAACGCUGGCGGUAGGCCUAACACAUGCAAGUCGAACGGCAGCCCAGGAAGAGCUUGCUCUUACGGGUGGCGAGUGGCGGACGGGUGAGGAAAACAUCGUAAUCUACUUUUUCGUGGGGGAUCACGUAGGGAAGCUUACGCUAGUACCGCAUACGACCUACGGGUGUAUGCGGUUGAUCUGCGGACCUUGCGCGGGUGAAGGAGCCGGCGUCGCAGUUGCUUGUUGGCGGGGUAAAGGCCCACCAAGGCGACGAUCCGUAGCCGGUCGGGGAGGAGGGUAGCCCACCUGGGAAGUGGGCCACGGACCAGACUCCUACGGGAGGCAGCAGUCGGGAAUAGUGGACAAUGGUCGCAAGCCUUAUACAGCCAUAGCGAGUCGGUGACGAAGGCCCUGCGGGUGUAAAGACCGCUUGUUGGGAAAGAACCUCAGCAGGCUAGUACGCCGCGAUUCUGACGGUACCUAAAGAAUAAGCACCGGCUAACUUCGUG
rnacentral:rRNA from 1 species